AAGCUGCCUAUGUCGUUAUCUUGGGUCCCGAACCAAGAUAACGACACAGGCCAGAAAGGCAGACAGGUGACUGAAAUCAUAGUAGUUAAUUCCUUUAUUUUAGAAACACUGGAAUUCCCGGGGUCGACACAGUCACAGAAACUGAAUCAGCUAUGCACUGGGCUUUGUAUACCAUAGAAACAAAAAUUGCUUUCGAAAAUUAAGACUGAAACAAACAGCAACAUUACUUUCAUUUCAUCAAAGCGCACUCAACAUCCUGCCACCCAUCAUGAGAUCAUGAUUCUUCUGGCUAUUUCUAUGUUAAACCUAACGUUAUAUUUCGUAGUUUAAUUUGUCUCGUCUUUUCUACCAAGGAUCAUUGGACCAAAGGAAGACAUUCCUGGACGUUGGAAAGGUGCCAAGGACUGGUAAAGGAAGGUGCUGAACAUGCAUAAACGAACGGGACUUCGCGGUCUUUCCUGCACAUAUGACAAGGAAUUUGUACGGAAUGUGACAGUGGUCCUGGCGGAAGGCGUCUUGGUGCCUCCUCUCGUUCUGGUUUUCCUUCGAAGUCUUCAUCCAUCAGCUUUUUCAAAAGACAUUCCGUGACUUUAUGUUUAGAUGUCUUGAUGGACAUGGGACCUUUCCCAGACAUUUGACAAGGCAAUGUCUGGACGUGCUAAGGGUAAGGUGGGCAGAGGAGGUGUCAGGCGUCACAGUCACGAAGGCGCUGCACAACAUCCGGGGAGACAGUGGUCCUGGCGGAAGGCGUCUUGGUGCCUCCUCUCGUUGUGUGUUUCCUUGGAAGUCUUCAUCAGCUUCUUCAGAAGACAUUAAAUGGAUGGCCCCUUCUCCCCACACUCUUUGCCCCUCAGGAAACAAAUGGUCCUUCCCUUGCCUGUCGCUGAGUGAAAUGGUCUCUUCUCCCCACAACCCUAACCCCUUGUGAAAUGGAUGCCCCCUUCUCCGCACAUCAUGAAUGGGGCCUAAAAGUAAUGCCAUAUACUAGUAGUUAAGUAUUAAUGAUGCAAAUCGGAACCCACUUUGCAUAAUUGAUGAAGAAAUUGUCUAAAUCUGCCAUGUUCCACUAUAUGACCAUUGCAACAUGUGACAUUUGUAACUGAGAAAGAAAAGAAUACUGAUUGAUAGAGGCCUAAUUUGCAUAAUCAACGAGAAAAUGCCAUAAUCCAAUUGUGGUGAAUGUCGUGCAUUUCUUAUUUGUGGUAUUUGGAAGUUAUGUACACGUGAACAUUCACCAUUGAUUGUGCACAUGAGGACCUCAAUUAAUACAUCUGUUGUUAAGAUUGGCGAAGGUAUGCGGUCGUGGAACUCUAGUUUUGGUAUCUUUUGACCAGGACAUGCUAUGGUCUUCAUUUUUUGUGUGGUAGAUAGCUUGUGAUGUAAGGAAAAGGUGAUACAUGUUUGGGCCCCCUAGCAGCUUGCUCUGGAAAUGCAAGGGAGUUUUUUUCUUCUUCAAAAUCUCCCAAUAAAGGAACAUAACGGAACAUGGGAACUACGGAUUUCCAUGACAUUUAGUUUGCAGGUAUCUCCAACAGAGAUGUACAUAUUGACGUGCAAUGUACGCAAAUUAGGAUUUAAUUUGCAUACUUAAUGAGGAAAAUCCGUGUGCCUAGUGUUUUCCAUUAUAGGACUUAAAUACAUGCAACUUAUGUUGUUUGUGGUAGGUGAAAGAUUAGCAGAUACCAAUUAUUUCAUAAUUCUUCUAAGUACAUGUAGUAAAUGAUGGAAUUGUCAACAUUGUGACCAGUGUAAGUGAGUUAAAUGUGUACAUAGCCGAGCAUAAAUUAUGCAGAUGUGCGUCAUUUGCAUAAUCAGAAUAUUUCAUGGAGAUUUGAGGUGUCCGAACUCUUGUUGUCCAUUGUUUCGCGCUCUUGCAUUAUUUUUGUAAUUUGCGGUUUAUAUCAUCCAUAAAAAUGUGAUUACUUGGUGUGACUUAAUUUGGCAAAGUGAAGAAACAUAGAAAGGCAAUGUCAGAUGUAGAAAGUACAUGUAUAUUGCGAUAGACGUCAAGAAAUGACAUCUUAAGUAGUGAACUAAAAAAAAACUUUCAUUGUUUAACGUUUGGUGCAUGCAUAAUAAACGAAGAUAU